rnacentral:tRNA from 1 species
GGACGGGUAGCUCAGUUGGUAGAGCAACGGACUGAAAAUCCGUGUGUCGGCGGUUCGAUCCCGCCCCCGUCCA